UUUUUUUUUUUCAAAAUAUAACUUCAAAGUCAAAUUAAUAUCAAGUCAAGAAUUACAAAGUGAGAAUAACAUAAACUCGUUCGUUGUUCAAGAUUCAAUAAGAUAAAAAAUAAAAAAAUGACCUAAUUAAUUCAAAUAAAGUGUCUAAAAAGAGUCCUUCUCAAAGUAAGACUGAACUGUCAUGCAACUGCACGGGCAAUAUGAUGGACCGUCACAGGCUUCACGGUCUAUAAAGUCUGCCGUGAUCUAUACUUGACACAAAUAAAAUGUGAGUAUUUAAUGCAUGUACACUGGAGCUUCUUCAUGAACACUCAACAGACCUGAGGCUUUCUGUGGUCUUCACUUGGUCGACACCAUAUUUCAUAUUCUCAUGACCUAAACACUGGAUCCAUUCCACGAUCAAAACCAUAGAUCGUGACGACGACCACGGUACAUAGAGGAGCAUGUGGUCAUAACUUGGCCAAUUAAAUUUUCAACCUUUUAAUACUUAUUCAAUGGAUCAUCUGCACGAGUACUUCCAAGGAUCGUUGUGAGGACCACAGUCCGUGAAGUUGGACAUGAUCUUUACUUGGUCCCUUUUACUAUCAACUCCUCCAAGACUUUCACACUGGAUCACCUUCAGGACCCGGGCACGUAAUAGGCUCUUUGAUAUCCACUUGGCAUUUGGUUAUCAGAACCUUCUUUGUUUUUAUCUUUCACGUCCACUUGUUUCACA
rnacentral:lncRNA from 15 species